UGCUCAAGUUCGCUCGUCCCUUUCUAAUUAUUGUGUUCCGGUCAUUUGAAGCAUGAGCUCACCAAGCACAUUAAUGUUGAUGCCUCCUUCGUGCACUCCAGUGCGCGGGAUCAGAUUAUUACUCUUCAGUAUGUGCCUUUCGAUUUACUGUUGGUUGGUUUCUUCAUAAAGCCUUAGACAGGAGCACAACACAGCUUUUAGCUCUCCAAGCCAUAGGGCCCAACAGUUGUGGCACCUCAAUGAACAAGCAUCCCGAGUAGUACAUCCAUGUGAAGACAACAGAUCUGCCCACAACCGUUCGUCGUCGCGGCUAAGCACAAGCGUAGGGUGCAUUAUUCCUUUCUCCUCCAUGUGUCCUCUUCCGCCUUUCUCGCUUCCACUAAUGCCAUCCCCUCACC
rnacentral:lncRNA from 1 species